rnacentral:lncRNA from 1 species
AAUAUCAAAUAUUAAUGAACAUUAAAUAUUUUCAAAAUCUAAUUUAGUAUUACAUACCAUUAAAGACAGGAACAUUUCAAUUUUUGAUGCAUCAAAGUAGGGCACGAUUUAAAAAAGGUUGAAAGACACUGUGUUAGAUAAAACGAGUGUAGUGAUACGAGUCAUUAUGUAGUCAGUCACAUGACGAAGGACCGUUGGAUAGGACGCACAUGUUACGUCAACUACCGUUAAAUUAUUGACGAGCUUACAUACUCACACGUUAUUGCAUUUUCUUUAGGAUAGUAGCAGUAUUUCUUAAAUAACUAAUGAAGAGAUAUAUAAAAAGAAAAAAAGAACAGUCGUGUGUGUGUAUGUUCAUCGAAACAAACUAACUUCGGCGAACGAUUGUAAUUUCUGCGAGCGUUACACGACACCGAGUUUACUGGCCUGUUGCUAUUUUUGCAAUCAAAUACAAGCGUUGUAAAACAGCAAGAAACUGAUACAUAUUUACAAAGUGAAGAUGGUCGUGUGACGUAAGUGACCUUAACUUGGCGAAUAGCUUUGUCUUACGUAAAACUUGUAAUAUUAUGCGCAGCCUGUUCUACGUGACGAUCGUACGAACGAUCGAGAAUAUGAAAAGCUGUUAAAUCAUUAGAAGUCAUUAACGUGACCAGGAUGACCUAAUCAAGCAGACUCUUCUGUCGUAGAAUGUCGUUUAAGUUGACCUUUUAUUAUUUAAUUUUGUUCUCCUAAAAAUGUACAAAUGUAUGUUUUUAAUGAACAAUGCUUCGAAAGGUUUAUUAGAAAAUAUAAGUAUAUAAUAUAUAUACUAUAUUCGAAGAUUAGAAUUUGACCUGUGACAUAAAUGCAGGUAAUUAAUUGAAAUUGUGUCCUAUUUUUCUUUCAUGUUGUUUGAUAUUUAUUUUCCUUAUUGGCAGAAAGGAUCAUAUCUUUUAAUUCGAUACGUAAGAAAGAAACUCUAUUUGAAUGCAUUAUAAUUUAAAUACUGAUCAUCUCUCAAUUCUUUUGUAUUGUUCUCUUGGUUUAACUCCUAAUUUCUGCAUUAAAAUUGUGUAACGUAUGUAAGUAUAUAAAAUUUGAGUUGUUCGAUUAAAAACUUAGUUUUUUUGUAUCACAA